rnacentral:rRNA from 1 species
CUCCGUCACCACGAACCGGCUCCACCGUGUGUGCUGGUUGUAACUUUGCGCUGAGCGGUUGCAGAAAAAAAAAAGGUGCCCGCGGGGGAUGCUCUUCUAGCACCGCCAGGUCACCGGUGUAGCAAGAAAAACGAUGGCCGGCGAUUUGCAACCGGCGACAUUUUCACAAGCUGGAAACGGCAAUUUAGAACGAUACAACCAGCUGAAACGAAAGUUGCAACCGGCGUUUCGAAAAGCUACUACCGGCGAUCAAAAAAGAUGCAACGAGCUAAGCUGGAAAUGGGCGAUUAAAAAUGCUGGAACUGGUGUUUGUAAAAGAUGCAAUCGGCUUGUUGAAAAGCUGCAACUGGCGAUUCGGAAAGCUACUACCGGUGAUCAAAGAAGAUGCAAACGAGUUGAACAGAAGUUGGAACCGGUGAUUAAAAAUGAUGGAACUGGUGAUUGGAAAAGAUGCAACCGGCUUGUAAAAAAGCUGCAACCAUUGAUUUGAACUGGUACUGUAGAGAUUUAAUUGAGGCCGGGGGUCGCCGGAGAUGCAAAGGACAUGGCCGUGGGUUGCAGCAUGACCUGUUGUAGCAAAUUUUGACACCGACUGUAGCAAAGAAUCGAUGAUGAUCGUGGUGACCGGCGAGCCCUAGUGCUCCGCCAACACGAGGUUGUAGCUCCCGGCAUUGCCGGUUGCAGCUCCCCACGACAAGGUUGCAACUUCUAGCGCCAGUAGUCCCCGCAGCCGGCGACCGUGGGUGUCGCCGUUGCAGCUCGCCGCGCAGUGGCCCUGGUCGUUGUUCCAGGAAGCCGCCAUCCUCAUCGUAGCUCGCAGCGGCAAAGUAGGCUUGGGCGGCCGCGCUCAAGGAAGGGAGCGAGGGAGGG